ensembl:lncRNA
AGAAGCCUGGGAGCCACUGAGGUGGAUGCCAAGAAUCUAAGGGUGAGCCAGGGUCAAAACAGUUCUUGUGGAGACAGGACCUGUGACCAGGGCCCAGGACUAUCCUGGGACAGCAGCCACAACACAGGCCCUGUGAGUGGAACAAUGUCUACCAACGACACAGGGAAAAAAACCAAGAAUGAUCAGUAUUGUUUCUAGGGAUUUCUUUUCGUCACAUGAGAAAAAGUCUGCAGGGAUGAAGCUCUCACUGUCAUGGCAUAUGAAUACAAAAGAAAAGGCUAAACUUAAUGAAUGGCACCAGUGUUUACAGCCACAGGGUUUCCACAGCACUGAGAGGGACAAGUUGGACAUGAGGAAGAAUUUCUACUCAGAAGAAGAGAAGCUGGCAGUCCGUGGCUUGGACAGGAACACUCUUGGCUGGACCAUUGCCUUGCCGUGGGCCCAGCCUGAAGAAAAGGGUGACAACAUGCAUGCCUAAUGUGUAUUGAUCUGCAAUGGGAUGAAGCACUGCUGCUGGCUGUGUAUACAGGAAGGUAGCUUUAUCUGUGUAAGAUCAUUGCUCUUUCACUUCAGUAACUCCUUCCUGUUGAAGGCUGGAAGAUCAUCAGACCCAGAACAAAGCCUGCUGAAGUGAAUAAAGGUCCCAAGAGUCAUUAAGAGGGAAGGUUACUGAAGAGAGAGAGAGAAAAAAAAAAAGAAGGCAUUAAAAAUGUUUACAUUUGGAAAUAUCAAGGUAUUUCACUGUGAGCUUUAUCCACAUCUGCUCAUGUAUCAUGGUGAUUCAGAAGAGUCUUAGUCCAGAUGUGCAUUGCUUUCAUGAGGUGGACACCACACCCAACUGCACUUGAUAUAAAUUUGAGUCCCUGUAUCUGUUCUAUUGUACAACAGUGGGAAGGUAAUCUGUUUUUCGUAGAAAAUACAGACCUGCAAAGGAGAUGAGCAUAUAACAGAGACCUCCCAUUCCCACAAUGACUCCAUAGUUAUUUGCACUGAUUGUAAAACAAAAUCAUAAAGAGUACAGCUAUGUAUCUUUAGAUAAUUGCUAGUCAGCUUUAGGGAUUGAUAUCAUUGACUGAUGUUCUGAAUUGUGAAGCUCUGUGUAUAUUUCUCAAAAUAACAUUAUACUACUGAUAC